GGGUCAGUAGGUUGGUCGUGCCACCGGUACGUACUGGUCUCACUGAUCCCUCCUUCCUGAAGAACCGUAAUGCCAUUAAUUUGGUGUUGCGGGGAAACAGGACUGUCACUUUGAAAAAAUUAGAGUGUUUAAAGCAAGCUAACGCUUGAAUACAUUAGCAUGGAAUAAUGAAAUAGGACGAUCGAUCCUAUUUUGUUGGUUUCUAGGAUUGACGUA
rnacentral:rRNA from 1 species